CUCCACAAAAAUACUGUACAGUAGGUCUUUACUAGUUCUGUUCGCUGUACAGUUUAAACACUGAGUUCUAUAUUACCCGCGGUGAGUUAAAUUACUGCAGAGAGCUGCUGAGAGUUUAGGAGAGCUACUCCACAAGAUGGCAACAUAGACACAAAUUACAUGGACAGACGAAAUUAGUGCUUCAGGUGAAAACACUAAAGGCGGAGACAGAGGAGGAACACACAGGAUCACAUGGGGCUUGACACAGGCACGGAGGAG